AAAAAACCGUCGUGCCCGAUCUCCCCCGCCGACCAGACCUUCGCACGCCCGAUCUCACGCCCGAUCCACCCCUACUCCCCCUCGACUCCCCUCGAUCUGUUUGCCCCAGCCGCCAUAGCAGAGCACUUCGCCGCCGCCAAGAUGCGAGGGGAGCCGCCGCCGCCAAGAUGCGAGGGGAGCCGCCGUCGCCGUGGUCCGAGGGGAGCCGCCGCCGCGCAUCGCCGCCUGCGACGCUGCAUAACCACGGUCUCCACUGGCGACACGAUGGCUGUGCCCUCCACCCAGAUCCGUCCGCCAUUGGCCCUGUAUUGUCCCUCCCGAUGGGAUCCAGCCUCCACCACUGCGCAUGGUGCGAGGGAAAGGCCGCGCGCGGGCGUCGUGAUGUGGUCGUCACGUGGCGCGGCACGAUCCAGGCUCUGGAGUGGGUCGACGAUCUUGAGUUCGCCAUAGUGCCGCCCAGAGGCCCCCUUUGUGAGGCCGCCUGCGCAGACGCUUGGUGCACCGCGGCUGGAUCUCCAUCUCCACCAACAACAGGGACAACGCCAGAGACCAGGCACGGGAUGUGCUGGACAUUGUUCAGUGUCAGGAGGUGAGCAUCACCAUGACGAGGCACAGCCUUGGGGCAGCGCUGAACGCAUUCGACAUCACUGAGAAUGGCUACAGCUGCACGGCCGCCGCAGCGCGUUCACUUUCGCCCUGCGCGGCGGCAGCACCGGCUUCAAGAAGCGGUUUAACGCUGCCACGGCCACCGGCCUCUGUGUUCUGUCGCGUCCGCAACGCUCGAGACAUUGUCCGCAACGUUGAUGAAGAUGAACUGCACACCUGAACGCAGCACUAAUGGAAAGAUUCAGCAUCUUGGUCGGCUGCUCGUGGCGGGGCUUGUGGCUGGUGGUUGCGGCAGUGGCAGAGCAGUGUCCGAGAGCGUGGCGCAAGCAGUGGCCCCUGCUAUGGGCUGAUGGGAGCACACCGUCCAAGCAGCACUUCAAGUCUGACAAUGUCCGCUCUACACCAAGGUACAUGGGCACUCGUGCAAAGAUCUAACAUCUUCACCGACUAGGACUAAGGUAUGUGUUUUCUUCUGCCCGUGUGAUGUGGUGAUAAUUUGUUAUGCAUAUGUUUGUAGAUGUUAGUCAGUAUUUGGGAGAUUGCUUUUUCUUUCUGCAACAUUGGGUUAUUUGUGUAGUUCAUGCAUGUUCGUCCUCUUUAUAUGGUUUUUCUCAUAAUGCGCGGCCCGAAGAUAGGUUCUUUUAGUUGCUACAGAUUUUAGUUUUUUCUGCUUACUGUCAUGUCCACUUUCUUAUCUGAUUAAGCAACUAAUAUAUGAAUAUCUGUGCAAAGUUCUACCAUUUUUGCACUCACUUAUGGGGCCAUCUAUGUAGAGUUUGUUCUGCUAUUCUCCAACUUAAAUCAAGAAUGCAGUCUCAUGUCAUUGUCUUUGCUAAUACAGUUUGUAAUGCAAUCCAAUUGUAGUGUCAUGUUCCAGCUCCUUUUAUUUUCAUCGUGGUAUGCAAGGUUGUUCAUGUGCUCUUCUUGCCAUGCACUAAUCAAAGUGUACAUGUAGAUGCUAAAAAUUGCUUAUCAUCAAAUUACUUGACUUAUGUACUGCUUGGACUUGUUUAAUUAAAGAGAUGUCUCUUUAAAUUGACUAUAUUUACUUGUCACACAUCAUUUGGGUCUUUUGCAUUGCCAAGAGUUGUUGCCUGAAACUUCAUACAUUGUAUAAUUUCUUGUUAUCCUUCUGUGCAUGGAGUCAUCUUCUGGGUAGUACAAUUCAGGUCGACCAUGCUGAGAUAAUCAUCAAUUUAAUUAUGACAGAUUACCAAGUUUAAUAUUUCAGUUCUCCGAAACAUAAUCUGAUUAUGACAGCUUAUCAAAUUUAAUAUUCUACACAUGGUGAACUUAUAAAAUUAGGAUACCUACUUGUUUUAUCAUUCUAUCAGCAACCUAAGCUGAUACUAUAAGAUAUUAAACCCAUUUGUAGUUCAGACCUUGCACGAUUCUGAUGGGGAAGAAAAAAGUGACUUGUCCCUAUGGGCUAUGGAGACAAUGGAUCUCCUCUGUAUCAAGGUGAUGUUGGUUCGACAAAUGGAUAUCUCUACCUUUUGUUUUGUGAAGAGUUGUGUCUGAAUCCUGGUGAAACGACAGGGAAAUAGAAUACAGGGUCUAUGAUGAAAAGAUGUUUUAUUUUGAGCACGAUGCAGAACUUGUUCUCAGUACACUAUGCCAUUUUUCAUAUGUUGACAUGUGAUUCCAAAUAAGUUCUAUUGGUUUAGAAAAAUGUAAUCCUGCAAAAGAAAUAUUCCACAUUUUAAUUUUAAAUUUAAUAUAUAUUGUAUAUGAGCUUAUUUUAAUUUUUUUAUUUAAUAUAUGUUUAUAAAAUGAAACGACAGGAGAGGGUUUAUAAAAUCUCUACUUCUUCAUGUUGCAUCAAGGCAUUGAUAUUGGACUAGAAUGCAUAUGUUUUAUAAUAAAAAGACAAACCUCAUGCAUUUAUUUUUAUUGCAACUUUUUUUGUAGUCAUCAAUAGUCAUAUGUCAAGUACUGUUUGAUCAUUUUAGGGUAUUGUCAUUCUUUUUACAGACCACUUGCGUUGGGCAAGAGGGUUCUGCUGUGGAGACCAAGAAAAAGGAUGGCAACAUUGGGGACGCCUCAACUGCCGGUGAUGAACGCAGCUCGGAACAAGCAAAGCUCCACGCGAGGCUCCCCUUCUUAGAUCAGUACUAAGGACUGCAGUUAUGUGGAUCCACUUUACUAGAAUGUUGAGCCCAUCAUAUCGUGUUCGACCCAUGAACCGGAAGGAUUGCUUGCCAUUAUGUGGUAUAGUUGUCCUUUGAGAUAUAUUAUUGUUUGUAUGAAUUAUGAGCUUCUCUGUGUCUAAAUUUACUCAAAUAGUCUUCUAGGAAUCUUGUUUUUGAUCCACUUUGGAGUCACAAUUUGUUGCUUGACACUUUGUUGUCUAACCCUCAAUUAAAGUUAUUACUAUAUUCAAGUGAUCGAAUA